rnacentral:rRNA from 1 species
CGGCAACGGAAUUAUGCCUUAGUACGGCGAGUGAGCGGCAAAAGCUCAAAUUUGAAAUCUGGUACCUUCGGUGCCCGAGUUGUAAUUUGGAGAGGGCAACUUUGGGGCCGUUCCUUGUCUAUGUUCCUUGGAACAGGACGUCAUAGAGGGUGAGAAUCCCGUGUGGCGAGGAGUGCGGUUCUUUGUAAAGUGCCUUCGAAGAGUCGAGUUGUUUGGGAAUGCAGCUCUAAGUGGGUGGUAAAUUCCAUCUAAAGCUAAAUAUUGGCGAGAGACCGAUAGCGAACAAGUACAGUGAUGGAAAGAUGAAAAGAACUUUGAAAAGAGAGUGAAAAAGUACGUGAAAUUGUUGAAAGGGAAGGGCAUUUGAUCAGACAUGGUGUUUUGUGCCCUCUGCUCCUUGUGGGUAGGGGAAUCUCGCAUUUCACUGGGCCAGCAUCAGUUUUGGUGGCAGGAUAAAUCCAUAGGAAUGUAGCUUGCCUCGGUAAGUAUUAUAGCCUGUGGGAAUACUGCCAGCUGGGACUGAGGACUGCGACGUAAGUCAAGGAUGCUGGCAUAAUGGUUAUAUGCCGCCCGUCUUGAAACACGGACCAA